rnacentral:lncRNA from 1 species
CUUCAUCUUCUUGGCCGUGAGUUUGGAAAGGAAAAGAGAGAAGAAAAAUCACUAAGUUCAUCUUGAUUCUUGCCUUGCUUAAGUUAAAAUCACAAAACUAAACCGAACAAACUAGCACUAAGGAAGCAAGGAAGCUUGUAGCGGAGAGUUUUUGGAGAGGAAGCCUUGGUUUCUUCAUUUUCUUCAAGAGGUUGAAGGUAUAAGAUGAACAACUUCCUUUCUUUUUCUUAUUCUUGCAAAUCAUGGUGAGAUAACUUGAAAUUUUAUGGAUGAUAAUCUAGAUUUGGUGAAGAUUGAUGAAAUUUCAGCCUACGGUUAUGAUUUUUCAGCCUUGAUUUAUGUUAUUUAUCCCUAAUAUGUUGGUAUUGAGUUUGGCUAUGGACUUGUGAGGUGAUUGGUAGCUUUAUUGUGACUUUUAAGUUUUCAAAUAGGAAUUUCCAGCUUUAAUUCUAAAAUUUCAGCUUUAGUAGUGAAUUGUCCAGCCUAGGUAUAUGUUGAUUAUAUCUAGUUUUAUAGCUAAAAUAAGUACUAUAUGUAUCUUAUACCUUGUGAACUUGAUUUGGUGCUGUCUUGUGGUGAGAGUGUAGCCUUGAAAAUGGUUGGAAAUUAGGGAAAAUAAGGGGAAGUGCUACUGAAAAUUUUUUCCGUAGGAGACUUUGAGCAGUCUUGGAAAAUCUGUUAUAUCUUGGUGUAGAAAAAUCCAAAUUGAGUUCCAUUUAUUGCAUUUGAAACUAGACUCAUAAAUCUUUUAACCGUGUAAAAAUCAGGGUUUUGUUUGACUCCUAUAAAUACCAGCAAAUUUACAAAAUUUCUUGAAAAACCAUGACUGUUCUGUUUUGCACAUGAGACAGCAGUGAUUUUGAACUGAAAAUUUGACUAACCUAUGAGUUGAAUUUCAUGAAAAUGUCUUCUAAAGUCUAUUAAUACUUUGAGUCUAUUUUCUAAUGGUAUAAGUUUUGUGAUUUUUUGACCUACAGAACUCAAGUUAUACUUUUUCAAAGAAUGUUGCCAAAGCUGGAAAAUUUUGUCAAAUGAAUUGCAUGGAACUUGGAAAACUUUGAGAAAACUUUUCUAAGUCUUAAACUUUAAUUGGUGUGAUUUUGGAUGGUUUGUGGACUUAAACAAGUGUACUUCAUAGUCCUAGAAUACACUUGGACACUCUUCGAUUGACUUUCAAGUUUGUCUUUGAAUUUUGUGUUUUGAGGGGCCGAUUUUAGAUAGGCUUAUGGCUCAUGAUUAAGGCUCAAAUGAGCACCUUAUUAACCUAAGUUUUGAAUGAUCGGACCAUGACAUCUUGUCUUGGUUACUUUUAGGGUUUAACGGUGGGAACGAGUACGACCCAGAGUCGAAUGUUUGGUUUUAAUCUACUUUAAAAGGUGAGUGUUCCUUGCAUGUGUGUGCUUUAAAUGACUAUGUGGAAUGUUGUCUGAAUGUUAAAUGCUUUCCAAUGAUUGUUAAAUGGAUUUUCGAUGGGCGAGUGUGUUCUUUAUCGCACUCGACCCAAGCAAAAAUGAAUUUUCAAUGAUUGAAUGCUACUUGUGCAUGAUGUAAGCCUUUUGGCUGAACUGAGCCUUUGUCCUUCAUUGCCAGUCAACUCGAGCCAGAAGCGAAUUCGAUCGGGCGGCUGGUGACCCUGGAACAAAGUUUGGUAUACUCGAGUAUUACCACGAAAUCUGGUGGAAAAUUGGCCAGUGAAUUCAAUGCAAUAAAUCGAUGAAUGAAUGACAUGAACAUUGAAGGAGUUUUCACGUGCAAAUGUUUUCUAACAUCGGAGGGAUAAGGAAAAAUGGUUGGCGAAUGAAUGAAUGGCUCCAAAUGAGCAUGCAUCCUUUCAAUGAAUGAAUGAUUGAUUCUUGAAUGACUACUUAUUACUGUGCCAAGUGUGCAAAGUGCUAAGUAUAAAUGUUCCAGUGUUUACAUGCUUGUUUGUUUGUUUGGAAACCUCACUGAACUUUUAGCUCAUCCCAUUAGUUUGUUUUCCUUAUAGGGGUGGAGACUGGAGCAAGUAGCCGUGAACUAGUAUUUAUAAUCUCUUGUACUUGUACUUUUGUAGAUGAGAUGUAUUUUGAAUCUUUAGAAAUGUAAUCCUAUGUUUUACUUUUGGAUUGUGAAUUAAAUUUGAAUUUUUAGUUGGAAAUGAAACUUUUAUGUUAAUUUCGAGGCUUGAA